GACGAACCGUGCGAACGUUGUUCGGAAUCACUGGGCUUAAAGGGCGCGUAGGCGGGCCAGCAAGUCAGGGGUGAAAUCCCACGGCUCAACCGUGGAAGGGCCUUUGAUACUGCGGGCCUCGAGGGAGGUAGGGGCGUGCGGAACUUCCGGUGGAGCGGUGAAAUGCGUAGAUAUCGGAAGGAACACCGGUGGCGAAAGCGGCGCGCUGGACCUCUUCUGACGCUGAGGCGCGAAAGCCAGGGGAGCGAACGGG
rnacentral:rRNA from 1 species